rnacentral:rRNA from 1 species
AUUGAACGCUGGCGGCAGGCCUAACACAUGCAAGUCGAGCGGAGCGGCGGACGGGUGAGUAAUGUCUGGGAAACUGCCUGAUGGAGGGGGAUAACCUUCGGAAACGGGCGCUAAUACCGCAUACUAUCAGAUUCGCCUAGGUCGGAUUAGCUAGUUGGUGGGGUAAUGGCCUACCCAGGCGACGAGCCGUAACUGGUCUGAGAGGAGGAUCCGUGACACGGGAACUGAGACACGGUCGAGACUCCUACGGGAGGCAGCAGUGGGGAAUAUUGGACAAUGGGAGAAAGCCUGAUACGGCCAUGCCGCGUGUGUGAAGAAGGUCUUCGGAUUGUAAAGCACUUUAAGUUGGGAGGCGUUACCAACAGAAUAAGCACCGGCUAACUUCGUGCCAGCAGCCGCGGUAAUUC